GGCAAAGAGGUGGGGAAAAGAAGUUGUUUCCGGUAGAGCUCGGCUUUGACAGCGUUGCGUUCACGCGCUACUUCUUUUGACGGAUUCUUUCGUUUAAGAACAUUUUAUUUUGUCUCGGUCGUUAAAGAGACGGUAGAAAUAACGCAGAGGUGGUAUUCAGACGUUAUUAGAAAGUUUAAGGACGAUAGCCAGACGACUUUGAAGGAGGAGAAGAAGGACCGUGUUUAGUUUUAGAGAGAAGCUUCAUGAACAGGUGUCGAGCAGACAUCGCCCUCUCCCUCCGCCUUUUCUCGAACGUCGAAAUAGGACACUUGACACUUUGGUUGGGCCAACCCAUGCCGGGUUUCAAGAAUUGGAUAUGGAUAUUGUUGCGCUGCACACGAAUGGCCUCAAUGCUGAACAACGUUCAGUGACAGCGGGCUGCUGACCGAGUUGGCACAAAGUGGAGGACAUUGGCUGAUAUGUGAUGUGAAGUCACGAUCAAGAAAAAAGGACAACCAGUAGAUUCCUGCAGACUGAUGUUACAUCCAUUACGUGCAGUUUUUGGGUCCUGAUCAGAUCGGAGUGGUACAAAAGUUGGAGUGAAAAGUUCCAGACCGUCUUGGAGCGCUUGCCCAGAACUAAUGACGAGUGAUGAUGCAGUCAUAGACUCCUCCCUUUCUGCGAGUAUUGUGAAAUAUGAAGAUACAUUCAGGGGAUUCCUGCUGAAUUUGUGUGUUAAUGUUCGUGUUGGUGUUUCAUCUCUGAUACAGAGCAGGUUGUUUUCAUGGAUCCUGUUAAAAGGGAAGAUUUUCUCCUGAAUGACAACAUUUUGAUCUCUCAAAAAUGUAUUUCACAUAAUAUUCCUGUAAAUAAUAAUCACCCGAGUAUUUCUAAGCACAAUCACUGUGCCAUCAUUUGAAAACACUGCCACUGUUUUAACAUAAACAUCUCAUUUCCUGUUGGAUUUAUUUAAACACUGACUGAAAUCAUACAUUGAGAUUUUUGACAUUGAUAGACCUCAAUUACCCUAAUUCACACAUUAAUCAAAAAGACAUUAGAUGAAAAAUUAAAUAUGAUAAAUAAACAAAAAAUUCAAAUGUGGGUUUCUGACACUGUUGCAGUACAGAGAGGGACAGUCCUGAGAGUGAGGAGGAAGACGAGCUGUGAGGGAGAGGAAGAGGGACAACCAGCGGUGUUGAACAGACCUGUGUGUCUGCGAGUGUCGUGUCAUUACAAUUCAUACAGUCAAUGUAACUGACAGUAAUGAACCAUAAUGACAGAAUAAAGUAAUAAGUUAACACUGAUCAGUUAUUGUCCUCAGUUACACCCUCAUGUUUGCUCUGCAUUCAUCUCUUAUCAGACAUACAAAGAUGAUCCACCAGUGCUGCCCAGUUUGAGGACAUUUCCAGUCACAUUAAUGGAGGACAGGAGACGCAGCUUCCAUCAAAACUGAGUUUCUACCAGAGCCAAAUGUCAUCGACUCCUCACUGAAGUCGUCCACCAGUCCAACCACUGGAAUCCAGCUGCUGCUCUCUAACUGGUCCACACAGCAGCUCAGACCUGACACAUUCACUGUAAACACACUGGUUUAUAUUCUGUUUGUUCUCCUCAUGAAGGAAACUUCACACAACCUCUGAGUUCAAAUCACUGAAAGUUCAAAUGGAAAGUUAUUAUUGUUUUCUUUUAUAAAGAAGCAGAAGCAGAAGCAGAAUGGUACCAUAAAGAUUUUAUUUAUUUUUCAUACUUGAGGGAACAAUUCUUCACCAGGCCUUUCAGAAUAAAAGCAUGACCAAGACAUCAUUUAUACAUAAACAAUAAUAAAUGGUAUGUAACUAAAAUAUAGAUGUAAUCCAUGUUUUAUGUCUUCAGUAACUUUGCUGUUAUUUAUGUUAUUUCUAAGUGUGCUGUCGUCUCCACAGCAGUGAUCUGGUUUCUCUGCAGGUUCAAUAAACUUUGGUCUCACUUGA